rnacentral:lncRNA from 1 species
UAGUAUGAGGGUUUGGAUGGGGUUAAAUGAUUAAAGAAUAAUGCCCUUAAAAAUGAAGAUUAGAGAAUAACGGGCAAAAAAAUGAAGAUUAGAGAAAAAAGGGGUUAAUUUUUUGAAGAUUAUAGAAAAAAGGGGUUAAUUUUUUGAAGAUUAGAGAAAAAAGGGGUGAAAAUUAAAUGUUUACAGAAUAACAGACCCCCCCCCCAA